CUUACUCCUUGAUACUUAUUGGUCACUUAGGAUCGUACUGGUUAUAGACUUGUCCCAACCAUGGAAAUUUGUAGCUAAGUGAAUUGCCAUUCCAAAUCCGCCUUGGAAACUGAGUUUGGCUUGGUGGAUAAAAUAUUGUUCCCUACUCUCAAAUUAUGGUAUUCUUUUCGUUAACAGUGUGCCUAUGUUCUUCCGAAGUUUAGAAUUGAGCAAUAUUAGCCAACUUCUCGUCAAUCAUACAAAUCUAGCCGUAUUAUUCCAGCCAACACUGCCGUAAAUGGCUUUUUUAACUCUUUCUACUAUUGAUGUCAUGUAUGAAGUGCCAUCCAUACAAAUACCAAUUUUAAUGCGAAAGUUACCACUGAUUGAGUCUCAGUGCCCGAUAAAAUUUCCAUGUCCCAUUUAAGAAACACCACCGUACUCAUAUAGACUUGAACUAAACUGAUUCUGAUUUAAAACGUAUAGUUGGCACCGAGUUUAAAUAUAUCAUACAGAUUCGUAUGUUCCGGUGAUAGUUAUUCUCGUAUGGGAAACAAGUUACGUCUCCUAAUUUUACUUUGAAAGGCGAACAUCAUUCUCCUAGUACCUUUUGGACUCGGAUUUGAAAGUAUCUGAAUAAAAACUAAGCAGUGUGUAAAAAUGCAUGGAUGAUCACUUAUUCUUUGUUCCAUAUACAUCCGCUGACUCCAAUUUACCUUCUCAAGUUCUUUCUGCAAUCUUGGAGUUGCAUCCAUAUCCACAGACAUGAUAGGUAUUCUGCAAGAUACUAAACAAUGUUAGAAGUUCCCUUUAUCUCCAUCUUUGUUCAAUAACAUCAGUUCAAAGCAUAAGUGAAAUUGAGAAUGCCCUUCGUAACCUCAAUGGACGAUUCCAUAUAUGAUAUAGCGCCCGCCUGAAAAGAAAUGCAACAUGUAGAACACCAAAAAUAAAAGGCAACUUGGAACAAUAGCUGGUCUUCCAGUUUCAGUGUAACUCUGAUUAACAAAGUAUCAAUGAAAGAAAUACGCGAUACAAUCCCGUUUUCGUACCAUUUCUUCGAGACAUUGAGAGUUCCCUAUAUAUACUCCAUAAUAAGAUAAUAACGUACAUUCACGCUGAUCAGUUGGAAAAGAUUCACAUAUUCACCCACUGCUAAAUUCUAGCCAUACUAACGCCCUUGGAAUCUCCUCAAAACUCAAGUUGACCAUUUAGAAGGUUGACAGAGUAAGUGAUCCUUCAGACUCUUAAUAACUACGUCUACCUCUUGUUUCCAUCUUUAGGAACACAGGGGCACGACUCCGAUCAGCAAGCACUACAGUUUCUUUCUAUCUUUCACUUUGCCCUCAGUACAAAAGACAGAAGUCAUGACCUACUUUCACCAACACUUCCAUAUCGACAGUGGAGUGUUCAAAAACACCUGAAAGCCUAACGUGUUCUUUU
rnacentral:rRNA from 1 species